rnacentral:rRNA from 1 species
GACGAACGCUGGCGGCGUGCUUAACACAUGCAAGUCGAACGAAGUGGCGAACGGGUGAGUAACGCGUAAUCAACCUGCCCUUCAGAGGGGGACAACAGUUGGAAACGACUGCUAAUACCGCAUACUGAAGGAGGGGAUUGCGUCUGAUUAGCUAGUUGGGGGGGUAACGGCCCACCAAGGCGAAGAUCAGUAGCCGGUUUGAGAGGAGUAACGGCCCAAUUUGGACUGAGACACCGGCCAGACUCCGACGGGAGGCAGCAGUGGGGAAUCUUCCCAAAUGGACGAAAGUCUGACGGAGCAACGCCGCGUGAGUGAUGACGGCCUUCGGGUUGUAAAGCUCUGUUAAUCGGGACGCGGUACCGGAAUAGAAAGCCACGGCUAACUACGUGCCAGCAGCCGCGGUAAUUC